CACAAUCUAAGCCAACUCUUUUCUCAAUCGAACCCGAUUUUGCUAAAUUGGAUAAUCUUUUCCCUAUAAUGUUCACGUUCUAGGGAUUUGCUUUUCUCCCUGAAUCAUCAUCUCUACGAUAGUACUGCAAUCCAAUCCAACGCCAUCUGAAGUGCUUGAUAUAUAGCAGGGUCUUCAGACCCGGCCAUUUCCCAAGUCGCUGCUGCAGCCAGCCACCAGGAACCCGUCGGAGUCGCGAAAGGUAGGUAGCUCCCAAACCCCAUCGGCCUUCUCUUGCCAGCGAGCAUAAGCAUCGUUAUCUGGUGUUUCUGUUCAACUCAUGCAAGUCCUUUACUACUUGUUGUAAACUUUCAAUAACAACUUUCAACUAUGGCGCUUUCCGGAACUGCCUUAUCCUUCAAUGGACUUUCUUCUACUCUCAAGGAGUUUAAUUUCUCGCCGGGUUUGUUCAUGAAUAGUUUUAACAAGCGACAUCAUGUUUGUCUGUCAUCCUUUGAGCCAAAUAGGUUGGUUUUUGGAAAAAGUGAAAGAGGAAACCAACUAUCUAUUUCUCCUAAUCAAUGCCUCAAGUUUCAAAUGAGAAGAUUAGGGACACGACAGGGAGUAAAAAAGCGAAGACUCAGAGAGUAUGUUGAGUAGCGAGAACAUUGCAUUAGAUGAAAAAACUUUAGAGGAGGAGUUACAGAAUGCAAUUGCUGAGGAGAAUUAUGCUAAAGCGGCAGAAAUAAGAGAUACUCUAAAAAGCCUUCAUAAAGAUAGCAAGACAGAAGUGCUUGGAGCAAACAACAAGUUUUAUAAUUCAUUCAGGAAUGGUGACCUUGCAGCUAUGCAAGCAAUGUGGGCGAAAAGGGACGAGGUUUGGCGAAAGAGAAGAUUGGUGGAUUUAGAAAUUGUCACCACAUAUGAAACGAAGAACCCUAAAAUCAAAGGAAUUGGAAAUUGAUAGUCACGGAAACUUCUCUCAACUCGCUAAUUCUCUCCGUCGUUCAGUCAUCAUUUCACUGCCGAUGACUCCUCCUUCAAUUGGUAAACCCUAUGAAUCUUGUGUCCAGGAACAAAAAGAUACAAGAUAUUUCAAUCUUGAAGGGUCAUUGCCAAGACCUUCUUGCUUCCAUGCAGGACAGACAUCUGGAACAUUUGAGUCAAUUGACAGUGCUUUUGGGGUUUGUAAUGAUAUUAGUGUCAUAUCGAUUUACAGGAACAACAUCUAGAACAUUUGAGUCAAUUGACACAAAAUGAAGACAGUCGAAGAAGAUGAUGAAAUUAAGUUGCACAUCAUUGCCACUAUUUCAGCACUUGUACCAAAAUAUCUUGCUUAUGCUAGAUUGGUAUAAUUGAAUCUUUUAGCAUCUAUAUAUGUACAAUUGAUAUGCAAUCAUUUACAUAGGUCGAAGGUAGGUGAAUUUCUAUUAAACCGGUGUAUUUAAAGUUUUCCUAGAUUCAUAGGCAUAU